rnacentral:rRNA from 1 species
AUUGAACGCUGGCGGCAGGCCUAACACAUGCAAGUCGAGCGGUAACAGGGGAAGCUUGCUUCUCGCUGACGAGCGGCGGACGGGUGAGUAAUGUAUGGGGAUCUGCCCGAUAGAGGGGGAUAACCACUGGAAACGGUGGCUAAUACCGCAUAAUCUCUUAGGAGCAAAGCAGGGGAACUUCGGUCCUUGCGCUAUCGGAUGAACCCAUAUGGGAUUAGCUAGUAGGUGGGGUAAUGGCUCACCUAGGCGACGAUCCCUAGCUGGUCUGAGAGGAUGAUCAGCCACACUGGGACUGAGACACGGCCCAGACUCCUACGGGAGGCAGCAGUGGGGAAUAUUGCACAAUGGGCGCAAGCCUGAUGCAGCCAUGCCGCGUGUAUGAAGAA